GGUACCGUGUCCGAGCGGCCGAAGGAUCAUGUCUCGAAAACAUGUGUGGGGGUUAACUCCACCGUGGGUUCAAAUCCCACCGGUACCGCAA
rnacentral:tRNA from 1 species